rnacentral:rRNA from 1 species
AUGAAGACCUUGUUCAUCCUUGCUCUCCUCACCCUCGCGGGGACCAACGCUGUUGCGCAGUUGGACACUACCUGUAACCAGGGCUCCGAGCAAUGUCAGCAGCAGCAACAACCAUGGCAACAAUGGCAGCAGCAGAUGGACCCAUGUGUGCAAUUCCUGCGGCAGCAAUGCAGCACAGUGACACUGCCAUUUGUGCAGUCGCGUAUGUGGCAACUUAGCAGUUGCCAUAUAAUGCGACACCAGUGCUGCCAGCAGCUAGCGCAGAUCCCAGAGCAGUUCAGGUGCCGUGCUAUUCACAACAUGGCUCAAGCCAUCAUGCAGCCGCAACCCGAGCAAUGGCAGGGUAUGUCCCAGUCCCAGCGGCAAGCCCCGCUUGAGGUCAUGAGGAUGUCGCUUCAGAUCUUGCCGUCGAUGUGCGGCGUGUACGUCCCGACAUACUGCAACUCCCUACGGCAUCCAUAUGGCCAGAAUUGA